UACGUAGGGUGCGAGCGUUAAUCGGAAUUACUGGGCGUAAAGCGUGCGCAGGCGGUUUUGUAAGCCAGAUGUGAAAGCCCCGGGCUUAACCUGGGAAUGGCAUUUGGGACUGCAAGGCUGGAGUGUGGCAGAGGAGACUGGAAUUCCUGGUGUAGCAGUGAAAUGCGUAGAUAUCAGGAGGAAUACCGAUGGCGAAGGCAGGUCUCUGGGACUGACACUGACGCUCAUGCACGAAAGGCGUGGGGAGCAAACAGG
rnacentral:rRNA from 1 species